rnacentral:rRNA from 1 species
CAUGCCGUAAACGAUGAGUGCUAGGUGUUGGAGGGUUUCCGCCCUUCAGUGCCGCAGCUAACGCAUUAAGCACUCCGCCUGGGGAGUACGACCGCAAGGUUGAAACUCAAAGGAAUUGACGGGGGCCCGCACAAGCGGUGGAGCAUGUGGUUUAAUUCGAAGCUACGCGAAGAACCUUACCAGGUCUUGACAUCUUGCGCCAACCCUAGAGAUAGGGCGUUUCCUUCGGGAACGCAAUGACAGGUGG